GCAGAAAGAGCGCUGAGGUUAUCUACUGAGAGAAGAGUCAUGCCAAGGACGCGAGUUACCAGACGAACCAAUAAGAGCAGAAGCCCCCCAGAUGAUGGCCGGUUCAGUUGGAUAAUGAAGUUGUAGAGAUUCAACAGAAAGCCACUGCUCCAACCAUGGAUAAGUUCCGGGAGGAUUUUAAAUUAUUGAAAGAGGAAAACAGGCUUCUGAAAGAGGAGAACCGG